GUGCCAGUACAAGCCCAAUGUAAAGGUGAAACCGCGAAUGGCUCAUUAAAUCAGCUGUAAUUCCUUGGAUCUGUAUAUUACCCAACAAGUUCCUUGGAUAACUGUGGUAAUUCUAGAGCUAAUACAUGCCAAUCGAGUUCCUGGCCCCUGAUCUUCUUGUUCCCACCUCUUGACUGAGGAGGGAGAGGACUACGUGGGUGCAAGGACGCUUUUAUUAGUUCACAAAAAAAACCAACUGUCGGGCUCUAGCAGUCCUUCAUUGGAAAUCCCUUGUGAUGACUCUGGAUAACUUUUUGCUGAGUGCAAGGCCAUCAUUACAAAAUGAUGAUGCGCCAGUGCCGCAUCUUUCAAGUGUCUGCCUUAUCAGCUUUCGAUUGUAUGCUAUGUGCUUACAAUGGCUAUAACGGGUGACGGGGAAUCAGGGUUCGAUUCCGGAGAGGGAGCCUGAGAAACGGCUACCACAUCUAAGGAAGGCAGCAGGCACGCAAAUUACCCACUCCCAGCACGGGGAGGUAGUGACGAAAAAUAACAAUGUGAGACUCAUCCGAGGCCUCGCAAUUGGAAUGAGUACACUUUAAAUCCUUUAACGAGGACCAAUUGGAGGGCAAGUCUGGUGCCAGCAGCCGCGGUAAUUCCAGCUCCAAUAGCAUAUAUUAAUGCUGUUGCGGUUAAAAAGCUCGUAGUUGGAUCUGAAAUGUAGGGCCUUGGGUCGCCGCCUGGCGAUUCCCUCGGUCUCCUGCAGUGCUCGACAGGUAGUGGUAGAGAUACCGUCUAUUUGUGGGCCGAGCUGGUUUGCACGGGAUGCCCUUAACCGGGUGUCCCGAGUGACUGGCGAGUUUACUUUGAAAAAAUUAGAGUGCUCAAAGCAGGCAUAUACUAAAAAUAAUAAUGCCUGAAUGGUGAUGCAUGGAAUAAUGAAAUAGGACCUUGGUUCUAUUUUGUUGGUUUAUACUGAACCCAAGGUAAUGACUAAGAGAGACAGUCGGGGGCAUUUGUAUUGCGACGCGAGAGGUGAAAUUCGAUGACCGUCGCAAGACAAACAACAGCGAAAGCAUUUGCCAAGGAUGUUUUCAUUAAUCAAGAACGAAAGUUAGAGGUUCGAAGGCGAUCAGAUACCGCCCUAGUUCUAACCAUAAACGAUGCCAACCAGCAAUCUGUCGGCGUUAUACCCAUGACUCGACAGGCAGCUUCUGGGAAACCAAAGUCUUUGGGUUCCGGGGGAAGUAUGGUUGCAAAGCUGAAACUUAAAGGAAUUGACGGAAGGGCACCACCAGGAGUGGAGCCUGCGGCUUAAUUUGACUCAACACGGGAAACCUCACCAGGCCCAGACACUGGAAGGAUUGACAGAAUGAGAGCUCUUUCUCGAUUCAGUGGGUGGUGGUGCAUGGCCGUUCUUAGUUGGUGGAGUGAUUUGUCUGGUUAAUUCCGAUAACGAACGAGACUCUGGCCUACUAACUAGUCGACGGAUCAACCAAAUAAAGGAGGGUUUGUCUGUCUGCGUGCCGUUGUUUAUCGUGGUUGGGCUCCCAUCCCUCGCGUCUCUCGUCUUCCUAGCGAUAGGUUGGCGGGGCGCGUUGUGAUGACGGGUCUUUUCUUCGAGAGGCGGUCGCAGCAGCAGCAUAUCCCGACUUUAACAGGUGCUUCAAGUAUGAUGGUGGUCCCGUCCCACUAAAUAAUGUCUUYUUAGAGGGAUAAGCAGCAAAAUGAAUAGCUGCACGAGAAAGAGCAAUAACAGGUCUGUGAUGCCCUUAGAUGUUCUGGGCCGCACGCGCGCUACACUGAAGGGAGCAACGUGUGUUCCUUCUCCGAGAGGAGAGGGUAACCCGUUGAAAACCCUUCGUGAAAGGGAUUGGGACUUGCAAUUGUGUCCCAUGAACGAGGAAUUCCCAGUAAGCACAAGUCAUCAUCUUGUGCUGAUUAAGUCCCUGCCCUUUGUACACACCGCCCGUCGCUACUACCGAUUGAAUGAUUUAGUGAGGACUUUGGACUGGCGAUCUUGGAGGGGACAGCUUAAAAAUGCUGGAGCUUCUUCAGCGGCUGCUUUUCCUCCUUGAGACGACGGAAAGAUGUCCGAACUUGAUC
rnacentral:rRNA from 1 species